AACAGUAAUGCACAACGAAACCAUAAAGAGGGCAAAGCCUGGAGACUAAAAAUACUGUGACAGAAAUUAGUCAACAAAAAGUGAGAUUUAUUCUGGUAUUAAACCAGCCAGCUUCUUGGGGACUAAAUAAUUUGUCAGUGCUAAAGGGGCAGAUGGAGCACUGGAAACAUUUUCUGUCACCGUGGCUGUUCCAUCCAGCUGCCUCCUGUGCUCAUCAGUGCACAGGGGCAUUGCUGGAGUGGGGAAAUGUGUACUGAAGGAAACCAAAUUGCCCCUUUUGCUGUCAUCUCUGACUCUUACCCACACUGCUGUGAACCUGUGUUCAAAUAAAACUAUUUCAGCUUAAGAUGAGAAGUUGUUUUCUGCCUCUCAGAGGGGCUGAUAAGACGAUGGGAAAUGCCCGCUUGUUCUGUCCUAAGGUCUGCAAGUAAGCAAAGAUCUCAAAGAUGUGAAAUGCUGCUUCUGCCUUUGCUGUUCCGCUCUUCUCUCUUUGUGUGUGUUUCAGUUUGUCACCUCUCCAGAAGAGCUGUUAUCUUCAACACCAUCUGAAAAAAAAAUAAUAAUAAUAAUCUCGAUCUUAUGCAAUGGGCUAAAAUGAUCGCUAGCAGUGGUUGUGGUUGUUUGCCAUGGAGAUAGGAAGAAACUGGUGUCUCCAUGCUCUGAACCUCAAACCUUGUUUAACUGACUCAUAUGAUAUGAUAUGGUGACAGGGCCAUGAUAGCACUUUGACCAUCUGAACCCAUUUAUGCCGCUGAAAUUAUCCACAUUGCACUGUAGUAAUUGAGUAAUGCUUUCUGCUAUAGCUCUGGAAGUGCUCUGAAAACCCUCAGGCUGCAAGAGGCAGCAGGCAAGAAAGGUUAUCUGAAUUUCUGCAAAGCCCUCCUCGAUCCACCUACACACCAGGCACCCUCCAGCUUCUUCACUGCUCUCAGCAGAUGCUUCCUAUUCCAGUCAGAAUUGCUUGACAUUUCAAGUGAACCCGAGCAAGAGGACUGCGUAACAAUAUUGACCUCUGCCAAAUGCCCUGGCCAUGUAGCAACACACGGCGCAGUACCCAGCACGCCAUGGCCUUGUUGCACACUCAUUCUGCAUGGCCAUGCCAAGGAGAACCAUGUGUGCCAGGCGGCCUCCGAGAUGGCCGGCCAGCAACGGAGGUCCCCCACGGCUGCCUUUUGCAUGUCAGUGCUAGGACCGGGCCUAUGGGCUGGCCUCCAUCGCACUUGCACCAGAGUAACGAUUGAAUUCAGACCCAAGUAAGCCCACUGACCUCAGCUGCGUUUCUCCAGUUCAUGCUGAUGCAGCCAAGAUUGGGUGUGACCUCUGUGUGAGAUGAAAUAUUACUGGUUGAGUGUUCCUCCCUUGCGUUCAUUCGGAGCCAAAGGCCUAUGAUGGACAGUCCUAUGCUAAUGAGGUAAGGGAAAGAAAGAUAACUGAGGAAGGAAGAAUUAGUUGUGAGCACAAAUUUUCUAUAAUUAUGAGAAAAAAGUGGACAGUAUUUAGACAGAGAUGGAUCUGACAGACAUACUAUAUAUACAUGUAGACCUAGACAUUUAUACCCAUGAUUUCAUUUUUUUUCCAUUGAGAUCAAAAAACUGUUAUCCAAAUAGUCAUUUUUCUGUCUUGUUGAACUUUGUUUCUAUAAGAAUGUGUUCACCUUCUUUCACAGCAAUGAUUUGCAUUUUUAAUUUGAAAAAAUGUCUGAAAUAUUGUAU
rnacentral:lncRNA from 1 species